rnacentral:rRNA from 1 species
GAUGAACGCUGGCGGCGUGCCUAAUACAUGCAAGUCGAGCGAACAGACGAGGAGCUUGCUCCUCUGACGUUAGCGGCGGACGGGUGAGUAACACGUGGAUAACCUACCUAUAAGACUGGGAUAACUUCGGGAAACCGGAGCUAAUACCGGAUAAUAUAUUGAACCGCAUGGUUCAAUAGUGAAAGACGGUUUUGCUAUCACUUAUAGAUGGAUCCGCGCUGCAUUAGCUAGUUGGUAAGGUAACGGCUUACCAAGGCAACGAUGCGUAGCCGACCUGAGAGGGUGAUCGGCCACACUGGAACUGAGACACGGUCCAGACUCCUACGGGAGGCAGCAGUAGGGAAUCUUCCGCAAUGGGCGAAAGCCUGACGGAGCAACGCCGCGUGAGUGAUGAAGGUCUUCGGAUCGUAAAACUCUGUUAUUAGGGAAGAACAAAUGUGUAAGUAACUGUGCACGUCUUGACGGUACCUAAUCAGAAAGCCACGGCUAACUACGUG